rnacentral:rRNA from 1 species
UACGUAGGGCGCAAGCGUUAUCCGGAAUUAUUGGGCGUAAAGAGCUCGUAGGCGGUUUGUCGCGUCUGCCGUGAAAGUCCGGGGCUCAACUCCGGAUCUGCGGUGGGUACGGGCAGACUAGAGUGAUGUAGGGGAGACUGGAAUUCCUGGUGUAGCGGUGAAAUGCGCAGAUAUCAGGAGGAACACCGAUGGCGAAGGCAGGUCUCUGGGCAUUUCCUGACGCUGAGGCGCGAAAGCGUGGGGAGCAAACGGG